UUGGUCGAUUUCCUUGAACAAUGCUCUCCCCUGGUUACAGAUGCUGACCUGGCAAACGAACUUGCCGUUGGAGCCGGGCAGCUCCCUGCUUUCUCCCUUCACAAACUCUCUCCACUGUUCACCUUGGUGGUUACAUACCAUCAAUGAGAAUCAAGAGUUGGUUAACGACGCGGCCACGAUGUCGUUCAAAUUAGUGCUCGUUGUUUUAGGGUUUCUGGUGUGCUUCACGACACCCUCUUACGCAGAAUCGUCGACCUGUUUGAUGGUGUACAAAGAAGGCGGUGCACCCGCGGUGUUUCAAUCCCCAAAAUGCCCUCUCUGGAAGCUCCCGAAUCACGAUUCCGGUAAAAGUGCCGCCACCUCCACGACGGCCCGUUGCCAAUCGGCCUUGCUCCGGGGUCGAAGAAAGCACAUGGAGGAUCGCACUCUGUGCAUGCUUGAUCUCCACAUUCCCUUCCCAACAGGCAAAAUGGGUGUCAAGCAAGUUACAGUCGGAAUUGUGGCAGUUUUUGAUGGUCAUAAUGGUGCUGAAGCUAGUGAGAUGGCUUCAAAACUUUUACUGGAUUAUUUUGCUUUGCAUACAUAUUUCCUUUUGGAUGCAACAUUUUCUGUUAUAUUGAAGAGACCCUCUGGUAGAUUGCCAAAUAUGGGAGAACGGGAUAUUGUUUUCCAAGUCCUUAAUUGGGAUGAAGAACUUGGAGGGCAUGAAUUGAACUUUGAGAGAUUUAAGUUUUCAGUCCCAGAAAAUCUUGAUGAUUCUUUCCACUUGGACAUAUUGAAGGAAGCUUUGUUGAGGGCAGUCCAUGAUAUAGAUGUGGUAUUUUCCAAGGAAGCAUCUAGAAAGAACCUUGGUUCAGGUUCAACAGCGACAGUUAUACUGCUAGCAGAUGGUCAGAUUUUAGUUGCCAACAUUGGAGAUUCAAAAGCCAUUCUGUGUUCUGAAAAAUUUCUUUCUCCUGUUGAGGCUAAAGCAUCUUUAUUACAAUUGUACAGGGAACAGAGGCGCAAUGGUGUUGUUUCACCUUUAAGAAAUUCCAACUUUAAAUUGACUGCAUCCAAUGGACUACUACGUUAUAUUGUCAAGGAACUAACUAGAGAUCAUCAUCCUGAUCGAGAUGAUGAAAGGUCUCGAGUAGAAGCUGCUGGUGGCUAUGUUGUUGAUUGGGGUGGUGUGCCACGUGUGAAUGGUCAGCUGGCGAUUUCCCGUGCUAUUGGUGAUGUAUUAUUUAAAAGUUAUGGUGUUACUGCUGCACCUGAGGUGACAGAUUGGCAAUCUCUGACUGCUAAUGAUAGUUAUCUGGUGGUUGGCUCUGAUGGCGUAUUUGAAAAGUUGAGCUUGCAGGAUGUUUGCGAUUUACUUUGGGAAGUAAAGCCUCACGGAACUAUGGGAUCAGGGCUGUCUUCUUCAUGCUCACUUUCACUAGCUGAUUGCUUAGUCAAUACUGCCUUUGAAAAGGGCAGCAUGGACAAUAUGGCAGCUAUUGUGGUUCCAUUGGGAUCUGCUUAUCAUUCUCAAAGCUUGCUGAAUGAGAGGUGUGGAAGAAAAGGGCAGAAGGAAUUCCCAUCUAAUGGACUACAAGAGUUCAUUUAUGAGCGAUCAGGUAAUGGUAUUAUUGCUGAUCUACUGCAGUUGGAACAAACUCAUCCAAUCAGAACCAAGUUUAGCAGGUUAUUGGUUGAAGGAAAACGUGGCAGUUAUGGCUGUUUUUAUUUAUUUGAGAAGCUUGACAAUGAUGUGGAUGAUCCAAUUCAAACUCGAAAGGAAGAUCAGGAAGAUUAUGUGCUUGGUGUACGCCAUGCUUUACCUAAUGCCUUUGAACAACCCUGUGGUGGACCUCUAAAUGUGUACAGUGAUCGGAGUUUAUGCUUAAACUUUGGGAUGACUGUUGAUGGAGCUAAUGAUCAAUGUGUGAAUCCAGAGAGCUUUGCUAGUUUCCUUGGUUUGCUUGAAUCCAUACCCUUCCAUGAUACUAGUUCAAGUUAUGGGUCAGAAGAGUAUCCAAUGCCAGAUUCGAGGUAUGUACUAAAGAAAAGAUUUGGUCGUGGUUCUUAUGGUGAGGUGUGGUUGUCAUUCAGUUGGAAUUGCCAUCAAGGCAGUAAUGCUUCAAGCUGGAGUGAAGAAAACCAGAACACCAGUUUUGGUGGCAGUAGUUCAUGUAGUAAUACAUCUAGCCAUGAUAGUAAUGCUGGUUUUCCUGAUGGCAACUUGUUUAUUCUGAAACGCAUAAUGGUGGAGAGAGGGGCUUCAGUUUACUUAAGUGGUCUACGGGAGAAGUACUUUGGUGAAGUCUUCUUAAAUGCCUCUAGAAAUCUUGAAAGUUUUCCUUCAGCUGAAGUGUUGGAACCUUUCUUGGAGGAAUCACAAUCUGUUUUCAAUGACCCAUUAGAUAUGAAUCCAGAAUUAGGAAUCACUUGGAGUUCUGAAAAAAUUGGAUGGCACAAGGCUGCCUAUGAAGAAGGUUUGAACCAUAUUGCAAGAUAUGUAGAGUCAUUUGAAUCGCGAUCUAAUGAAAUAUGGCUUGUAUUUCAUUAUGAGGGCAUGUCACUAUCGAAGCUUAUGUAUACUGUGGAAGAAGCAGAAAAAAAUGCAACUGAAGAAAAGGUUGAAGAAGUAAAACAAGUUCAGGUAUUGCGUCCAUCAAAAUGGUGGCAUUGGUUGAAGACAACAGAAGAGGGACAUGAGGAAAUGCGCAAUCUUAUUCAACAGUUGUUGGUAGCACUGAAGUCCUGUCAUGAUCGCAAUAUCACCCACAGGGAUAUCAAACCUGAGAACAUGGUUAUAUGCUUUGAGGACCAGGAGACUGGGAGAUGCUUGAGAGGAAUUCCAAGUGGAGAUAAGAAUUUUACCACUAGAAUGCGCAUCAUUGACUUUGGAAGUGCAAUAGAUGGGUUUACAAUGAAGCAUUUAUAUGGAUCAACUGGCCCUUCUAGUCUUUCCAGAUCUGAGCAAACUCAUGAUUAUAGUCCACCUGAAGCUCUUCUUAAUGCUAGUUGGUAUCAGGGGGCGACAAGCACUACUUUGAAAUAUGAUAUGUGGAGUGUGGGUGUUGUGGUCUUAGAGAUGAUCUUAGGGUCACCAAAUGUAUUUCAGAUAAGUGCUGUAACACGUACUCUGCUAGAUCAUCAUCUUGAGGGUUGGAAUGAAGGCUUGAAGGAGCUUGCUUAUAAGCUUAGAUCAUUCAUGGAAUUGUGCAUCCUAAUCACCGGAAGUUCCUCAAAACAUCAUCGUGCAAUGAACCGAGGUGGCAUUUCACCUGCUUCCUGGAAAUGCUCUGAAGAGUUUUUCUCCCAUCAAAUAAGGAGUAGAGACCCUCUUAAGCUUGGAUUUCCAAAUGUUUGGGCUUUGCGGUUAGUGCGUGACCUGUUGCUCUGGGACCCUGAUGAUCGGUUAAGUGUUGAUGAUGCUUUGAGGCAUCCUUAUUUCCAACCUCGCAAAAGUUGACAGAAGUACACAGGUCAACCAUUUUUUUCUGAAGUUAACCAUUUUCCUUGGGAAGUACGUUUGUCACUAAUGUCUAAACAUGGAAGACAUGCAUUUAGUUAUGUUUGAUCCAAGAAAAUUGAAAAUUUGAUCCAUUUUGAAGAUCAAAGUGAUGAAAUAGAUGGAAGGUGGAUUUAUCCUGAAGUUUCAGUCGCCAAGUUCCUUGCAACACAGAAUGCUUGAGUUCCAGUGCCAUUAGAUCAAGUUGGAUGCUAUUGUGGCACCCAGUAAAGGAUCCUAUGUCACUGCCGAAGUGAUGACCACAAGGUGGGGUUCUCUCUCUCUAGAGACCGGUGACUCAGGUAUGUGCCGUCCCUAUCGCCGCCCCGAAACAAAACAGAGGGCUGCGGUCAAUGCGGGUCUGAGGUAAUAAAAAAGCUUCUUCACUUCACCCUUGAGGUAACGCGUGGUAUCCACACGCUUUGUGAUGGCCCCGUUUGGCACCAACAGUACGUACGGUGCUUUAACCCUGCUUUCGGCCUAGUCCCUUGGGCAAAGCACUAACACUGCGAUUGGGCUCAAUCCAAUCGCACCUGGGGGACAAUUCUACCCCCGUUGUUUAUUUAAUUUCUCCUAUUUGGCCCCUCUAGGCCCUAGCUAUUGUAGUUUGAUGUGCAUCCUGCCGUAACUGGUUAUUACUAUAUUUAAUAUCACCGUUAUAGGCGGAUUCUAGUCUCUAUGUCAAACCGAAAUCAGAGAAAUCCAAUCCUUGUAGCUAUUGUUUCUUAUAAAAACCUUUUAGCUAUUUGUAAUAUUUGUUUGUUUG